GGGAGCGGAUGGGUCCUGGUGGGUCCCGCAGUCUUCAAAACUGUUGCGAGGUAGCUAGCGCUGUCUUGGGUGGGUUCGACUCCCUCGCGCUCCCGCCA
rnacentral:tRNA from 1 species